rnacentral:lncRNA from 1 species
GGGCAGGUGGUCCUCCCGCUCGCUGAGGUGCCGGCCUCGCCUCUUGCAGAUGUUCGGAGCUUCUAGUUGAGACGAGUUCUGGCUGUAGGAGCACGAGGGCUGAGCAGACUGCUCCGGGUCUGCCUGGAAGAUCUUCACCCUUGCAGCGCUGCUGCGAGAGUUAGAAACCUGCUGCCUCUCCUCUCUGGUUCUCUUGGUCUCCUGGAGAGGAGAGUGCGCACUUUCACCGCUGUCUCCUGCUCUGCCUGCUCCUGCUUUCAGCAUGGUAAAGAAGAACACUAUCCCCGAGGGGUAAGUAUCCCUCACACUAAGCGAGAGGCAGGAGCGGGCACAGCCCUGCUCAUGGAGAAGGGGCACUCACUGCCCCAGGUGCUUUCUUGCUGUACUGCCAGGUAAGGUAGGUAGGUAUCUUCUCCAAGACAGGAACAACACAGCCUUUCAUCCCCCAGGUGAGUAUGAUGCUCCAGCCUGUCUGUGAACAUUCUCCUUCAUCAGCCAAAUGCAGUCCCUUCUUCCUAACUUAGCUCCAGAUGCAUACUUACCUGCAGAAAUGGGAGAGUAGCCCAUCCUGACUGCUCAGAGUAAGGAAAGAGCAGAUAAGAUGAGAGUAGGUCAUUGCAUGUACAU